GACGAACGCUGGCGGCGUGCUUAACACAUGCAAGUCGAACGGAGCGAAUGAAAGCUUGCUUUUAUGAGCUUAGUGGCAAACGGGUGAGAAACACGUAGACAACCUGCCGAUCAGAUGGGGACAACAUUCCGAAAGGAAUGCUAAUACCGAAUGGCGUGGAGGGAAGGCAUCUUCCUUUCAUGAAAGAUGGCCUCUAUAUAUAAGCUAUCACUGAUCGAUGGGUCUGCGUCUGAUUAGCUAGUAGGUAAGGUAACGGCUUACCUAGGCGACGAUCAGUAGCCGGUCUGAGAGGAUGAACGGCCACAUUGGGACUGAGACACGGCCCAGACUCCUACGGGAGGCAGCAGUGGGGAAUCUUCCGCAAUGGGCGCAAGCCUGACGGAGCAACGCCGCGUGAGUGAAGAAGGUCUUCGGAUCGUAAAGCUCUGUUGAAGGGGACGAACGAUCGAGGGGCGAACAGGCUCUCGGUAUGACGGUACCUUU
rnacentral:rRNA from 1 species